CUUGAUGAACGAGGGUCGCACCCCUGUGUGUGGGANUACAGCCCACUGCCUCUAGCCUCGGCCACACUUAC
rnacentral:tRNA from 1 species